AAAAAUAUUACCUUGCGUAUUAUUUUAGAUUUCAUAGGAUUAAUCUGUAUUUGUUGGAAGUGGAAGGUAAAGUUGUAAAAAUGGAUGAAUUAAGGAUUUUUU
rnacentral:sRNA from 1 species